GACGAACGCUGGCGGCGUGCUUAACACAUGCAAGUCGAACGGAAAGGCCCUGCUUUUGUGGGGUGCUCGAGUGGCGCGCGGGUGAGUAACACGUGAGUAACCUGCCCUUGACUUUGGGAUAACUUCAGGAAACUGGGGCUAAUACCGGAUAGGAGCUCCUGCUGCAUGGUGGGGGUUGGAAAGUUUCGGCGGUUGGGGAUGGACUCGCGGCUUAUCAGCUUGUUGGUGGGGUAGUGGCUUACCAAGGCUUUGACGGGUAGCCGGCCUGAGAGGGUGACCGGCCACAUUGGGACGGAGAUACGGCCCAGACUCCUACGGGAGGCAGCAGUGGGGAAUAUUGCACAAUGGGCGGAAGCCGGAUGCAGCAACGCCGCGUGCGGGAUGACGGCCUUCGGGUUGUAAACCGCUUUCGCCUGUGACGAAGCGUGAGUGACGGUAAUGGGUAAAGAAGCACCGGCUAACUACGUG
rnacentral:rRNA from 1 species